rnacentral:ncRNA from 2 species
AUUGAAUCCGGUGAUGGAGCUCACCGUGAACUGCCGGAAUGAACUGGCUAAUGGCCCCUACUGUUCU